GAUGAACGCUGGCGGCGUGCCUAAUACAUGCAAGUCGAGCGAACAGACGAGGAGCUUGCUCCUCUGACGUUAGCGGCGGACGGGUGAGUAACACGUGGAUAACCUACCUAUAAGACUGGGAUAACUUCGGGAAACCGGAGCUAAUACCGGAUAAUAUAUUGAACCGCAUGGUUCAAUAGUGAAAGACGGUUUUGCUGUCACUUAUAGAUGGAUCCGCGCCGCAUUAGCUAGUUGGUAAGGUAACGGCUUACCAAGGCAACGAUGCGUAGCCGACCUGAGAGGGUGAUCGGCCACACUGUAACUGAGACACGGUCCAGACUCCUGCGGGAGGCAGCAGUAGGGAAUCUUCCGCAAUGGGCGAAAGCCUGACGGAGCAACACCGCGUGAGUGAUGAAGGUCUUCGGAUCGUAAAACUCUGUUAUUAGGGAAGAACAAAUGUGUAAGUAACUAUGCACGUCUUGACGGUACCUAAUCAGAAAGCCACGGCUAACUACGUG
rnacentral:rRNA from 1 species